CCUACGGGAGGCUGCAGUGGGGAAUAUUGCGCAAUGGGCGAAAGCCUGACGCAGCGACGCCGCGUGAGGGAUGAAGGUCUUCGGAUCGUAAACCUCUGUCAGCAGGGAAGAACGGUCACUGUGCUAAUCAGCAGUGAAUUGACGGUACCUGCAAAGGAAGCACCGGCUAACUCCGUGCCAGCAGCCGCGGUAAUCCGGCGGGUGCGCGCGUUACUCGGGAUUACGGGGCGUAAAGCGUUCGUAGGCGGUAUGUCAAGUCAAGGGUGAAAUCCCCGCGCUCAACGUGGGAACUGCCUUUGAAACUGGCAAACUGGAGUGUGUGAGAGGAUAGUGGAAUUCCAGGUGUAGGAGUGAAAUCCGUAGAUAUCUGGAGGAACAUCAGUGGCGAAGGCGACUAUCUGGCACAUAACUGACGCUGAGGAGCGAAGGCGUGGGUAGCAAACAGGAUUAGAUACCCGGGUAGUC
rnacentral:rRNA from 1 species